CUAAGAAUCUUCCGCAAUGGGGGAAACCCUGACGGAGCGACGCCGCGUGGAUGAUGAAGGCCGUAAGGUUGUAAAAUCCUUUUGUCGGUGAAGAAUAAGCCAGGGAGUGGAAAGCCCUGGUGAUGACGUUAGCCGACGAAUAAGCCCCGGCUAAUUACGUGCCAGCAGCCGCGGUAAUACGUAUGGGGCAAGCGUUGUUCGGAUUUAUUGGGCGUAAAGGGCGUGUAGGCGGCUCAUCAAGUCUGGGGUGAAAUUGCAGAGCUUAACUCUGCGUAUGCGCUGGAAACUGGUUGGCUUGAGUGCUUGAGGGGAAGCUGGAAUUCCAGGUGUAGGGGUGAAAUCUGUAGAUAUCUGGAAGAACACCGGUGGCGAAGGCGAGCUUCUAUCAGAGGACUGACGCUGAGGCGCGAAAGCGUGGGGAGCAAACA
rnacentral:rRNA from 1 species